AACGAACGCUGGCGGCAUGCCUAACACAUGCAAGUCGAACGAGACCUUCGGGUCUAGUGGCGCACGGGUGCGUAACGCGUGGGAACCUGCCCUUAGGUUCGGAAUAACUCCCCGAAAGGGGUGCUAAUACCGGAUAAUGUCUUCGGACCAAAGAUUUAUCGCCUUUGGAUGGGCCCGCGUUGGAUUAGCUAGUUGGUAGGGUAAAAGCCUACCAAGGCGACGAUCCAUAGCUGGUCUGAGAGGAUGAUCAGCCACACUGGGACUGAGACACGGCCCAGACCUCUAGGGGGGGGAGGAGGGGGGAAAAUGGGAAAAGGGGAGAAAGCCUGAACCAGAAAUGCCGGGUGAGAUAUGAAGGCCUUAGGGUUGUAAAGCUCUUUUACCCGGGAUGAUAAGAACAGUACCGGGAGAAUAAGCCCCGGCUAACCCCGU
rnacentral:rRNA from 1 species